GACGUAGGGGGCCAGCGUUGUUCGGAAUUACUGGGCGUAAAGGGCGCGUAGGCGGCCUCCGCAAGUCAGUUGUGAAAUCUCCGAGCUUAACUCGGAAAGGUCAACUGAUACUGCGGGGCUAGAGUGCGGAAGGGGCAACUGGAAUUCUUGGUGUAGCGGUGAAAUGCGUAGAUAUCAAGAGGAACACCUGCGGCGAAGGCGGGUUGCUGGGCCGACACUGACGCUGAUGCGCGAAAGCCAGGGGAGCGAACGGG
rnacentral:rRNA from 1 species